rnacentral:rRNA from 1 species
AUAAUACCCUGGUAGUCCCAGCUGUAAACGAUGCAGACUCGGUGAUGAAUUGGCUUAUUGCUAAUUCAGUGCCGCAGGGAAGCCGUUAAGUUUGCCGCCUGGGGAGUACGGUCGCAAGACUGAAACUUAAAGAAAUUGGCGGGGGAGCACCACAAGGGGGUGAAGCCUGCGGUUCAAUUGGAGUCAACGCCGGAAAUCUUACCGGGGGGCGACAGCAGAGUGAAGGUCAAGCUGAAGACUUUACCGAGACAAGCUGAGAGGAGGUGCAUGGCCGUCGCCAGCUCGUGCCGUGAGGUGUCCUGUUAAGUCAGGUAACGAGCGAGAUCCCUGCCUCUAGUUGCUACCAUUAUUCUCAGGAGUAGUGGAGCUAAUUAGAGGGACCGCCGUCGCUGAGACGGAGGAAGGUGGGGGCUACGGCAGGUCAGUAUGCCCCGAAACCCUCGGGCCACACGCGGGCUGCAAUGGUAAGGACAAUGAGUUUCGAUUCCGAAAGGAGGAGGCAAUCUCUAAACCUUACCACAGUUAUGAUUGAGGGCUGUAAACC